rnacentral:rRNA from 1 species
CGCAUUAGCUAGUUGGUGAGGUAACGGCUCACCAAGGCGACGAUGCGUAGCCGACCUGAGAGGGUGAUCGGCCACACUGGGACUGAGACACGGCCCAGACUCCUACGGGAGGCAGCAGUAGGGAAUCUUCCACAAUGGGCGAAAGCCUGAUGGAGCAACGCCGCGUGAGUGGAGAAGGUUUUCGGAUCGUAACACUCUGUUGUAAGGGAAGAACAAGUACAGUAAUAACUGGCUGUACCUUGACGGUACCUUAUUAGAAAGCCACGGCUAACUACGUGCCAGCAGCCGCGGUAAUACGUAGGUGGCAAGCGUUGUCCGGAAUUAUUGGGCGUAAAGCGCGCGCAGGCGGUCCUUUAAGUCUGAUGUGAAAGCCCACGGCUCAACCGUGGAGGGUCAUUGGAAACUGGGGGACUUGAGUGCAGAAGAGGAAAGUGGAAUUCCAAGUGUAGCGGUGAAAUGCGUAGAGAUUUGGAGGAANCNNACCANGUGGCGAAGGCGACUUUCUGGUCUGUAACUGACGCUGAGGCGCGAAAGCGUGGGGAGCAAACAGGAUUAAAAACCCUGGUAGUCCACGCCGUAAACGAUGAGUGCUNACUGGCUAGGGGGUUUCCGCCCCUUAGUGCUGCAGCUAACGCAUUAAGCACUCCGCCUGGGGAGUACGGUCGCAAGACUGAAACUCAAAGGAAUUGACGGGGGCCCGCACAAGCGGUGGAGCAUGUGGUUUAAUUCGAAGCAACGCGAAGAACCUUACCAGGUCUUGACAUCCCGUUGACCACUGUAGAGAUAUAGUUUCCCCUUCGGGGGCAACGGUGACAGGUGGUGCAUGGUUGUCGUCAGCUCGUGUCGUGAGAUGUUGGGUUAAGUCCCGCAACGAGCGCAACCCUUGAUCUUAGUUGCCAUCAUUUAGUUGGGCACUCUAAGGUGACUGCCGGUGACAAACCGGAGGAAGGUGGGGAUGACGUCGAAUCAUCAUGCCCCUUAUGACCUGGGCUACACACGUGCUACAAUGGACGAUACAAACGGUUGCCAACUCGCGAGAGUGAGCUAAUCCGAUAGAGUCGUUCUCAGUUCGGAUUGUACGCUGCAACUCGACUAGAUGAAGCCGGAAUCGCUAGUGAUCGCGG